CCUCCGGGAGGCAGCAGUGAGGAAUAUUGGUCAAUGGGCGCGAGCCUGAACCAGCCAAGUAGCGUGAAGGAUGACUGCCCUACGGGUUGUAAACUUCUUUUAUAAAGGAAUAAAGUGAGGCACGCGUGCCUUUUUGUAAGUACUUUAUGAAUAAGGAUCGGCUAACUCCGUGCCAGCAGCCGCGGUAAUACGGAGGAUCCGAGCGUUAUCCGGAUUUAUUGGGUUUAAAGGGAGCGUAGAUGGGGUAUUAAGUCAGUGGGGAAAGUUUGCGGCUCAACCGUAAUAUUGCAAUUGAUACUGGCAGUCUUGGGUACAGUUGAGGUAGGCGGGAUUCGUGGGUUAGCGGGUAAAUGCUUAGGUAUCACG
rnacentral:rRNA from 1 species